rnacentral:rRNA from 1 species
UGGGGAAUCUUGCGCAAUGGGCGAAAGCCUGACGCAGCGACGCCGCGUGGGGGAGGAAGCUCUUCGGGGUGUAAACCCCUGUCAGGAGGGAAGAAUGGGCACCCGAGGAAAUGCGGGUGUUUUGACGGUACCUCCAAAGGAAGCACCGGCUAACUCUGUGCCAGCAGCCGCGGUAAUACAGAGGGUGCGAGCGUUGUUCGGAAUUACUGGGCGUAAAGCGCGCGCAGGCGGUCCUUUAAGUCUACCCGUGAAAUGCCGGAGCUCAACUCCGUGCACGCCGGGGGGAUACUGGAGGACUGGGAGACGAGUAGAGGCAAGCGGAAUUCCGGGUGUAGCGGUGGAAUGCGUAGAUAUCCGGAAGAACACUGGAGGGCGAAAGGCGGCUUGCUGGGCUUGGUCUGACGCUGAGGCGCGAAAGCGUGGGGAGCGAACAGGAUUAGAUACCCUGGUAGUCCACGCCGUAAACGAUAGGCACUAGACGCGGGUGGGAUCGACCCCUUCCGUGUCGCAGCUAACGCGCUAAGUGCCCCGCCUGGGGAGUACGGCCGCAAGGCUG